AACUUCACCGCGGUCUGGUUCUCUUCCGGAUGUGGGCUGUCAGAUAGACAGGCGUUGUCCAAGAAAAAAAGAGGUCCUGCAUAGCUGUUUUUAUACGAUUCAUGUUUAGUUUUAUGUAUAGUCCAAGUCGUAUGCAUAACGAUAUGAGGAUUGCCUGAAGCCAUGGGCUCACAUCAGCCAGUUCAAGUACCACUGGGCCAGGGCGUCAUCCUGCUGUGCCUCAGGAGACCUUCACUCGAUGUGAGGACUUUAACAGUGGAGUGGAGACUCAAUACAAACUGGGUUCACGUUUACAGAAGCAGGAAGCGAGAUCCCAAUCUUCAGCACAAGGACAUCCGAGUCUCUAUUCCAGGCUGAAACGAGCAGAAGAAAUUUUUUACUAAAACCUUUCUUGGUAAACACUGCAGGCCUACAUGUUUUGUUUAUUCCUUUAGAGCUGUUGUGCUUUCAGUUACCCACUGGAGGUCGAUGUAGACCUCUAGUGAGUUUUGAAAAGUGACGAAUAAGUGAGUGCAAGUGUCUUGCUCUCUUUCUCUUUCUUGCACUCGAUGUUUGGAUUACCUGGGUUUGCCUAUAACAAACAAGACAAGAGUCAAGUCAGGAAAGGAUACAUCAGCUUCCUUGUUGAAUUGCCUGAAGCCAUGGGCUCACAUCAGCCAGUUCAAGUACCACUGGGCCAGGGCGUCAUCCUGCUGUGCCUCAGGAGACCUUCACUCCAUGUGAGGACUUUAACAGUGGAGUGGAGACUCAAUACGAACUGGGUUCACGUUUACAGAAAUAGGAAGGGAAGAUCCCAAUCUUCAGCACAAAUACCUCAGAGACAGGGCAUCUCUCUUCCAGGCUGAUACGAGACUUUUCACUUGGCAAACACUCAGGAAUAUUUUGUUUAUCCUGGAGAGCUGCUGUGCUUUCAGUUACCCACUGGAGGUGGCAGUGACAGAGACGAAAAGUGCAUGGACGUGUCUUGCUCUCUUUCUUUCAUGUUUGGAUUACUUGGGCUGUAAAAAAGUGACACAAGAGUCAAGUCAGAGGAGGAUACACAGCCUUCAUUGUUGAUUACAUGAAGGGGAACACUUCGCUGACUUUCGAUCGGGUUAAGUUUGACGACCAAGGUGAUUUCCUCUGCCACGCCCAAGAUAAAGAUGGGAAGAGAAAGCCUGUUGCUGUGAGGAUGAGGGUCAAUAAGAAGAACCCGGGUCAGACCACCUCCAAACCACCGCCUCCGACACCGCGGCCCCUUGAGAUGGGAACUUGGACCGUUGUCGCUAUAACAGCAGCUGUGGUGUGUCUGAUUGUUGCACCUUUAGCAGCUGUGUUUGGUUCGUGGCUGAAAUCCUACAGAUCAAAAUCUGCGGCAGAUGUAAAAGUUGAGACUUUUAAAUGAGAGGGUCCAUGUGGGUUCUGAAGUUAACGGGGCGCCUUCAAGGCCACAUUUAAAUAGGCCUAUUAACCCUGCUGAUGAAGACCCAGGGCAGAACGAAAUGCUUGUUGAGUUAAAUUGAUGCGACUGAUGAAACAUCAAAAGAGAAUAAUAUUUAAAACCGUUAAUGCACGAAUGAUUUGGCCAAAUAAAUAACCACUCAUCCUCAUCAAUUAUUGUCAUCAUUAAAAUAUUUCCCCUAACUAUAAAAACAGAGUGGCCAUUUGAAUAGGCCUAUAUGAGAAUGUCCAUAAUGUUUUGUUAUCAACUGUUUUGGUUUUCACUGAUUUAAUUGACUUAUGGCCUAUAAUGUGUAAAAUAAUAUGCCCUUUUCUGGUUUCCACCUCGGACCCUGUUUCACUUUCUUCAGUCUGAAAUUCUUUAGCUUUAUUUGUUUUAUGGGAAAAACAGCUUUCUCCACAAUACACGCGUUCUAUGCACAUGCAAUAGAUGAGCCACCUUAAGUCUGCACCUGGUAUGAAAUGUGCUAUAGCCUAUAAAUAAACUUGCCUUCAGUAACGUUCUUUGCAGUAUUACACUGUUGUUUCUAAAUAUUGGCCUACCUAUGUUUGCUUUGUUUAGCAUUGUUCUUGUUUUGUCGUAUGCCCUUUAAUCCUCUUUGCCAAUAAAGAUGAUUCUGACUUUUAAAA